CUGUGGCCGCCGCUCAGCUGGGGGCGGGAGGAAGAGGGGCCGGACUGGGGCCUGACGAGCCGCCGCUGCCGCCACCGUCUUCGCGGCUGCUAUGACCAGCGGACGAGGCGCCCUCCGCAGCUCCGCGCAGCGCUAGUCGCGGCCGUGCGCCCGCCGUAGCUGUCUGUCCCCAGCGCAGCCGCUCCCGCGGCUCCCUCGGCUCUUCUCGCGCCGCCUGCGAGGCGAGGCGGAGGCAGGAUGAAGAUGACGGUGGAUUUCGAAGAGUGUCUGAAGGACUCGCCCCGCUUCAGGGCUGCUUUGGAAGAAGUAGAAGGAGAUGUGGCAGAAUUGGAACUAAAACUUGAUAAGCUUGUGAAACUUUGUAUCGCAAUGAUUGAUACCGGAAAGGCCUUUUGUGUUGCAAAUAAACAAUUCAUGAAUGGGAUUCGAGACCUGGCACAAUAUUCUAGUAAUGAUGCUGUAGUUGAGACAAGUUUAACCAAGUUUUCUGACAGUCUUCAAGAAAUGAUAAAUUUUCACACAAUCCUAUUUGACCAAACUCAGAGAUCAAUUAAAGCACAGCUUCAGAACUUUGUUAAAGAAGACCUUAGAAAAUUCAAAGAUGCCAAGAAGCAAUUUGAAAAAGUCAGUGAAGAAAAAGAAAAUGCAUUAGUAAAAAAUGCUCAAGUACAAAGAAACAAACAGCACGAAGUUGAGGAAGCCACAAACAUUUUGACAGCAACAAGAAAAUGUUUUCGACAUAUAGCCCUCGACUAUGUACUUCAGAUUAAUGUCCUUCAAUCAAAACGAAGAUCAGAAAUCCUAAAAUCAAUGUUAUCUUUUAUGUAUGCCCAUUUGGCCUUCUUCCAUCAAGGAUAUGAUCUAUUCAGUGAACUUGGGCCCUACAUGAAGGAUCUUGGUGCACAGUUGGAUCGACUGGUUGUAGAUGCAGCAAAGGAGAAAAGAGAGAUGGAGCAAAAACAUUCCACCAUUCAACAAAAGGAUUUCUCCAGUGAUGAUUCUAAGUUAGAAUAUAAUGUAGAUGCUGCAAAUGGCAUUGUUAUGGAAGGAUAUCUGUUCAAACGAGCCAGCAAUGCCUUCAAAACUUGGAACAGACGCUGGUUUUCAAUACAGAACAAUCAGCUGGUAUAUCAGAAAAAGUUUAAGGAUAACCCCACCGUGGUAGUGGAAGAUCUAAGGCUGUGCACAGUGAAACACUGUGAAGACAUAGAACGACGUUUCUGCUUUGAGGUAGUCUCUCCAACAAAAAGUUGUAUGCUUCAGGCAGAUUCUGAAAAACUGCGCCAGGCAUGGAUUAAGGCUGUUCAGACCAGUAUUGCUACUGCUUAUAGAGAGAAGGGUGAUGAAUCAGAGAAGCUGGAUAAGAAAUCAUCUCCAUCCACAGGAAGCCUGGAUUCUGGAAAUGAGUCAAAAGAUAAAUCGUUGAAAGGAGAAAGUGCACUGCAGCGAGUCCAGAGUAUCCCUGGCAAUGCCAGCUGUUGUGACUGUGGUCUGGCGGACCCACGGUGGGCCAGCAUCAACCUGGGCAUCACCCUGUGUAUCGAGUGUUCUGGGAUUCACCGGAGUCUUGGAGUUCAUUUUUCAAAAGUACGAUCUUUAACUUUAGAUACCUGGGAGCCUGAACUUUUGAAGCUUAUGUGUGAAUUGGGAAAUGAUGUUAUAAACCGAGUUUAUGAAGCUAAAGUGGAAAAAAUGGGAAUAAAGAAACCACAACCAGGACAAAGACAGGAGAAAGAGACAUAUAUCAAAGCAAAAUAUGUGGAGAGGAAAUUUGUGGAUAAAUAUUCUAUAUCAUCAUCACCUCCUGAGCAGGAAAAAAGGAUUGUCUCCAAAAGUUGCGAAGAAAAGAGGCUGAGCAUUUCUAAACUUGGGCCAGGUGACCAAGUCAGAGUACCUCCCCCAAGUUCAGUUAAAAGUAAUGAUAGUGGAAUCCAGCAGAUUUCUGAUGAUGGAAGAGAAUCUUUACCCUCGACAGUGUCUGCCAAUAGUUUAUAUGAGACUGAAGGAGAAAGGCAAGAUUCUUCUGUGUUUCUCGACUCUAAACAUCUUAAUCCGGGACUCCAGCUUUAUAGGGCUUCAUAUGAAAAAAAUCUUCCUAAAAUGGCUGAGGCUUUGGCUCAUGGUGCAGAUGUGAACUGGGCUAAUUCAGAGGAAAAUAAAGCAACACCACUUAUUCAGGCUGUAUUAGGGGGUUCUUUGGUGACAUGCGAGUUUCUUCUACAGAAUGGUGCUAAUGUGAACCAAAGAGAUGUGCAAGGGCGGGGCCCACUGCACCAUGCCACUGUCUUGGGGCACACAGGGCAGGUAUGUUUAUUCCUAAAACGAGGUGCCAAUCAACAUGCCACUGAUGAAGAAGGGAAAGACCCUUUGACUAUAGCUGUGGAAGCAGCCAAUGCUGAUAUAGUGACCUUGUUACGUUUAGCAAGAAUGAAUGAAGAGAUGCGGGAAUCAGAAGGACUUUAUGGACAGCCAGGUCAAUAUUCUACUAAUAACCAUACUGAAAUGCAGUAUAAGAAAUGCAUUCAGGAAUUUAUUAGUUUACAAUUGGAAGAUUCAUAGUUCUUUAGCAGAGUGGCUUAAUAUUCUGGAGUUUUUAUAACUUACUUGUAAAUUGUGAGUUGUUAUGUAUUGUACUUACUGAAUUCUCGGGAGCGGCUAACUCCCGAGCCUUUAGAGGUCCGUAACUAUUCCUAUUACAGUACACAUUUACUUGCUGUGUUCAACUUUGGCUGCUGACUUCUUUACCUGCUGUACAGAUGUCUUCCAUAUACAUUCCAGUGACGUGGAUGGAAUGGUGACCUAUAUUUAUACCCUCACAGCAGCACAAUGGUCAUUUUCAUUUUGGAAUUCUCUUUAGCUGUCAAGUGAAUAUAACAGAAUUGUUUUCUUUUUGUUAUUCAGGGAAUUUCUAUGAAUUGCGUUCAGGGAAAAAUACAAAUCACCAUGUGUUUGGCAUAUAAAAAGUCAGUAUGGAAAAUGCCUAGAAAAAAGUUUAUUGAAUUAAGAGUUUUGUACUCUGAUCUAAAGAUAAGUUUUAGAGUUAAAAAUAAAAUCUACUAGUAGUUUAAGAAGCCCGGAAUGGGAAUGGAGUUAGUUUAAAAGGUAUAGAGAAAAGGUCUCACUUUGCCUUGUAGCUUUGCCCCAAGCAAUUGUACAUUAUCUGUUGGGUAAAUGUAAGUAUUUAGAACAGUAUUUCAUGAACCUGAUGGUAAAGUAAACUUGUUAGAGAAAUCUCAACUCAGGAUCAGCCCAAGUCUCAUUUUGUGUAAUUUUCACCUUUGAGUCAGGAUGUCAAGAAAAGGAAGAAAUGUUGCUAAUCAGAUUCCUUUCUUUGAGGAACACAUCCUAAUUAGACAUUCUUCACGAAGAAAAGAGUAAUCAUUGGAUCUCCAGUUUCAUGAAUUUGAAUAUAUGAAUUCCUAAUUUAUCUGUUUUAAAUUCAUAUAAGUAUUAGUAAAGGAUUUCAGGAAUUCAUGACUAAAAUAAUUGUAAUGUUAGUUUUUAAUAAGUAUAUUUAACUUUUAAAAAUGAAUAUUAAUGUGUUAUUUUAAAAGUGGCUUGGUAAUAUCAUCUAUUCUUCCUGUUUAAAUAUGUUUUGAGAUUUCUGUAUUUUAUGCUAGCUUCAGCCAUUAACCUUUACAUAACUGGAUUAGUAUAUAAUUAAUAUGGGGCCAUUCUUUUCUCGGAGGACUGUAUUUACUACUUCUUGUUGGUCUAGUUUAAUAGGGAACAAGUAAGAACUUUGAGAACAGAGACACUUCAGCUAGAUACUUCUAAUCUAGGGUGUCCCACUUUAAUCCUAUGGAUCAGACAAUACUACUGACUCAUGAUACACCAAGAUGUAAGAGUGCUGAUUAAGGGUGAAGUCUCAGCAUUAAUUCUGAAUUUCACCCAUUUGUUUUAAACUUGAAUGUUAGAUUUUAAAUAAGUUAUAAUUUUGUAACAGAUAUACUUAAGUGAGGGUAUUACUAGGCCAUUUUUAAGGCCUUUGUGUUUAAGCACUUUAAAAAUAAAAAUUAUUCAAAGGAUACAACCUGAUAUUUGUGAGGUAAGAGUGAACUUCAAGAUUUUAAGUUAAACAAUUCUUUUUCCUGACAUUUGAAACUUAAAUGUUUGGUCAGCUGUUCUUUCCUUGAGCAGUUUGCUGAUGAAGUUACACCCAACUGAUUAGUCAUAAGGUCAGUGGUCAACUUUCCUUCGGAGUUGGGAAACUUGAAAGGACAGGGCCUCUAUGUUCUUGUGACUUCUAGUUCCACCCAGAUUGCUUGGGCUUCUUCUGCCACCAUUUAGGAGCAUUCGAAUGUCUCUUUCACUGCCGUUUUAUGUAUAAGUUUAUGGGUAUGCAUCUUCCAUUCCCCAGUAGAAAAAUGAAUUUUUCCAAUUUAUUUGACCGAAAAAUGUUUUAAAAGCCUCAUUUUGGGGUGUCUGGGUGGCUCAGUCGGUUAAGUGUCUGACUUCUGCUCAGGUCACCAUCUCACAGUUUGUGGGUUCAAGCCCCAUGUCGGGCUCGCUGCUGUCAGCGCAGAGCCCGCUUUGGAUCCUCUGUCCCCCCUCUCUCUGCCCCCCAAUUCUCAUGUGCUCUCUCUCUCAAAAAUAAAUAAACAUUAAAAAAGCCUCAAAAAAAAAAAAAAAACAACAAACCAGGCUUUUCCACCACUCUCAAAUUUUAGAGAUUAAAAAUAGAUCAGAAUUCUGGAAAUGGUGUAUCAGAAGAAUAAAAUGGGAUUUUGAUCUAUUUGGGGAUGAUCUUGAUGAUAGAUUUUCAACCCAUUUAGAAGGUCUCACAUGCAAAGCAGAGCAACUUUAUACUUACACAGGUGACGCGGUGAAAUGGCACAGCAAUUGCUCCCUGGCUACUUUUCUUUUCCUUCACAAGUCUUUGGAGAACAGAUAUGUUAGCUCAGGCAGUAGGGUCUUUCUUUCCCCUCCACUUGUCACUGUUAUUUUUCUCUCAUUGAUUUUGGUUGAUUGUCUUAUCUAGAUCCUUUUGUUGUUGUUGCCUAGCAAUACCUCAGAAAUUUGGGUAAUUUUAAAAUGCAGGUAUUUUCGAUCUUUUGAUAAUGAAGAGCCCUAUUAUUUAAAAGACUCAGAUAUAAUCUUUGGGAAUCGUGGAUUUAUUUCUAAGAAACCACACUUCUGAACCUUCUAUAUACAACCCUAAGGACCUGAAACUUUCUAUUUUUUGCAAGGCGAUAUAAGAGCACACGUUUCCUGAAGGGAAGAUCUAUCCCUCUUUAUCAGUUCCUACAACUCUUAAGAGGACUGGGUGAGUGAGUGAAAUAUCACGCCCCGCCCUCAGUCGUUGGAAACCACUUUGGUGGUUCCCACAGUCUCUGGUUCCAUGACUCCCCUUGAUUGUUGGCAGAGUUUCUCAGCCAGUUGAAAAUCACCACUUUAGUGAGCCGCUACUGGUUAUGCAAGUAUGUCGCUAGCAAAGGUUGGUCCCUGAUCUAAUUAUUUGUAUAAAGGAAGCUGUAAUCAGCCCAGGAAGGGCGGGAUCAUAUACUUGAUCACCUAGAGGUGGGGUCUCACAUGCUGCUGUCUCUUUGAGGGGAGUGCAUUUCGAGAGCAAAAUCAACAAGUCUUGGAUCAUCAUCAUUGCUGUUACAAUGGAUAUUCUGAAUACCAAAAAUCAAAAACUAUUUUGAACUAUCAGUGGACAUACAGAAGUCCACAUUUUAAAAAUUCUGAACUGUCUGGGCACAUGGAAAAGUUAACCUUAUGAAGAGAAAUAGAAUAUGAUUAAGUAAUUUAAAGGAUAUAACUUAGCAUUACAAAUAUUGGGUGAUUAGUUGCUUAUCGUUUGUAAUAAACUGUUAAAUGUGCUUACGUGAGCUUUCCAGGGCAGCGAAUUAUGGGUUAUUGUUUAUGUAUGCUAGUGUAGACAAGUUAUAUUGCCUUGGGAAAAAUUCUAAAUGAUUAGAAUUAUAUUUAAAUUUCAAGGAAUCACAUUGAAGCUCAAUUUAUGUUAACUAUAUUAAAUAUCUUAGUCACUAUUGUUAUUGUAAUGUUUGUUUUUUGAUAAUAUAUUUUGAGGCCUAAGAAAGGUAUUUUAUUGAUAGUCCAUUAAUUAAUGUUUUGUUAGAAACUGAAUGUUAACAGAAAGUUUUGUGUGUGUGGAAGGUGAGACUUCCUUUUGUCUUGUAUUAGCUCUAAAAUGUAUUCGUGAAACCAAUGAUUAGUGUAGCACCAACACUUUCCUUCAAGGAAGCAUUUAAUUCAGUGAAUAAAAGAUCUUAUAAUUUGUUUUGCAUGGUACAAUGGUUCUACUAAAAUGUACUCGUGUAAUAGGUACUAGAUGAUUUAAGAACAAAAGCUGGAAAACCACAAAAAAGAAAAACCCUACAGUUUGUUAUACAAAAUAUGCAUUGCUAAUAGUAGAAGCCAUAUAUUGCCAUUGUACUGUUGUAAUACUUACGAAUGCUCAUCUGGUGCUAUCUGUAAAGUAUUUGGCAUUAGCGUCUGCUAGAUCCUUCUUCCUAUUUCUUCUUGAAUGUAUAAUGUGUGCCUUUUAAGUUACUUCUGGUGUUGAAUGGUAAAAUCAGUGUGUUAUUUUUGUAUUAUAACCUGCACUUUACACUUCCUUGGAAAGUAAAAUUCCAGACUCUCAAGUUUAAAUAGUAUUUUAAAAAUCUUUAUAAUGUUUACAAUAAAUAUUUUCAAUAUUUUAAUUCAACAUCUAAGAAUACGAAUUUUUAAAUAUUUUGUAUAGUUUGUUAAUAUUUAAUGUUGGUCUCUUCUCAGUUUAUUUUAUAUCUUUUAGAAUGGCUAAAAAUGGGAAUAGGUUUGUAGUUUGUCUUUUAACAUGGGAGUUUACCUUUUAGAAAAUCAUGGGUGUAAUUGGAUUGUCUUAACCGUUGUUCCAGUAUAUCAAAUUUCAUUUUUAUUGUUUCAAUAACAUGAUAUGAGUUAGAUGCUACUCUUAACCAACUAUCAAGAUUUUCUUCUUACUGUAUUUUUUCUUUUUAAAGUAGAUUGAUUCAGGUCAUGAGAAAAUUUCCAGGACUAAAUGAAAACUAUAUAGAGAUUUUAAUAACUUGCUUUUUACAUAGACUAAAUGUUAAAAGUGACUAAAGGUUAAAAGUAUUAACUUUUUUUAUUGAAAAUCUUGAAUUAUGCUGUUAGACCUUUAUACUAGAUCUUUAUCCCCCUCCCCCACCUUUUUUCUGAUUCUCUAGCUUUUGGUGUAUGACACCUAUUGCCUCAAAAAUCUUGCUUUUUAAAAGCUGAUAAAAUCAACUGCACUAUUAACAAUUGUAGCAAUGAGUUUGUAAUAAGAUGGAUGCAAGAUAUCUUAUGGAAAAUAAUUAUAAAACCAUGCUGCAACAAUAAUCAUUUAAAACACUUUUGACGGUUUAAAUCUUGAAAACAGAGCUAUGCUAAGUUUCUGUGUAAACCUAACGUCUGUCAGAAGUAUAUAUGAUGAAAGAUUGAUCUUGAAAAUGAGAUUUUACUUUAUACAAAUCCUUGGUCUGAGGAAUUAAUCUUUAUGUGUGCAUAUAACUAGUUUGUCAUGGCAAGAAAAAUAGUAUUCAGUUGGCUAUAGUAUCAGUAUCUACAAUCUACUUCUCUACGAGCCUAUUUGUAUGUACGUACAUACAUGCCUUAUGCUAAUUUAACCGACAUCUUUGGUGUUUAUUCCCCUUUGUCAUAGCAUUCUUGCUCAUAUGACCUACAGUAAGCAAAACACUUCUGACGAAAUAGGAAACUGAUCUUACAGUCCUUUUCUAGGCUUUAUUAUUCUAUAAGCUCCGUAAGCAGUGGAUUAGGUGUAUUACUUUUAGUUAAGUUUGAGUAAAGAAUUUCUUUUUCACAUGCUAUUUAAAUUAAAAUGCCUUUUAGCUCAAAGAUAAUUAUUAAAAUAGGAUUUUUUUUUUUUUUUGCUCACCUGGUUAUCAGUUUUGUCUUAUUAAUAACUUGCAUCCAUCAGAAGCAUUAGUAUUUGUUAUUGGUCUUUUCUUUUGGCCUUGAUCAAGGGAAAUAUUUAUUUAAAGAAUGCCUUGUUUACUAUACCUCAUUUAGAAUGACUUUUAUUUCUAUGUAAAUAAAUGUAUUUCUUUAUAUUGCUCUAAAACACUUGCAUCUUUGCUCUUUUCUAACUCUGAGCUUUCCUCUGUGGCUGCCUCUGAGGUGCUUUUCUCAGGUAUAGCUGUUUCUUUUCUUUCACUAUGUGCUUUUCUAGCAUUUAUAUUUAGUGGGUCUUUUUUUCUCCCCAAUAUGCUCAUCUGAGUAAAAUUUGAGUAUGGUUAAUUAUAAUAUAGUUACUAGCCAUAAAAUGAAUGUUGUUUAUUAACACUUUCACUGUAUAAAUUUUAAAAGUGUCUUUAUUUUACUUUCAUGCAGGUGAUGAAACCUACCAGGAUAUUUUUCGUGAUUUUUCCCAAAUGGCAUCCAAUAAUCCAGAGAAACUAAAUCGUUUCCAACAAGAUUCACAGAAAUUCUGAGUUUUUUUAAAGAAGGGGAAAAGAUUAAAUUGAAUGAUCCCCUAAUGUACUAAUGUGUACGUCUGAAAACUCACAAAUUUUUACUGCCUUAAAUCU